ACGGUGCCGGGGCUUCUCCCGUUU
rnacentral:tRNA from 2 species